GGGCCCGUGGUCUAGUGGCUAUGACGUCUCCUUCACAGGGAGAAGGUCACGUGUUCAAAUCACGUCGGGCCCA
rnacentral:tRNA from 1 species